UCUGGUGAUGAUGGCAAAGAGGCCACACCCGUUCCCAUGCCGAACACGGAAGUUAAGCUCUUUAGCGCCAAUGGUAGUUGGGGGUCUCCCCCUGUGAGAGUAGGACGUUGCCAGGC
rnacentral:rRNA from 1 species